rnacentral:misc_RNA from 1 species
UCGUAACAAGGUCUCCGUAGGUGAACCUGCGGAGGGAUCAUUACAAGAACGCCCGGGCUUCGGCCUGGUUAUUCAUAACCCUUUGUUGUCCGACUCUGUUGCCUCCGGGGCGACCCUGCCUUCGGGCGGGGGCUCCGGGUGGACACUUCAAACUCUUGCGUAACUUUGCAGUCUGAGUAAACUUAAUUAAUAAAUUAAAACUUUUAACAACGGAUCUCUUGGUUCUGGCAUCGAUGAAGAACGCAGCGAAAUGCGAUAAGUAAUGUGAAUUGCAGAAUUCAGUGAAUCAUCGAAUCUUUGAACGCACAUUGCGCCCCCUGGUAUUCCGGGGGGCAUGCCUGUUCGAGCGUCAUUUCACCACUCAAGCCUCGCUUGGUAUUGGGCAACGCGGUCCGCCGCGUGCCUCAAAUCGUCCGGCUGGGUCUUCUGUCCCCUAAGCGUUGUGGAAACUAUUCGCUAAAGGGUGUUCGGGAGGCUACGCCGUAAAACAACCCCAUUUCUAAGGUUGACCUCGGAUCAGUAGGGAUACCCGCUGAACUUAAGCAUAUC